rnacentral:lncRNA from 1 species
AGAAUGUUUGGACAGGGCCCUUUUGUAUAGGAUUGCCAAAGCUGUUUGUCAGUGUGGUGUUUGUUGCUCAUGUGGGAUGGGAGAGUGUCCUGACAAGGCUCCGUUUAGCCUCACUGGAAUGAUCUUUGAAGCUGUAAAGAAAAAUGGGUGUUUUUGUGUUUUUUAGAGUUGAUUUUUUCCUGAAGAAUGAUCCAUUUAAAUGCAUCACUGAUACAUGAUACAAUUUUUAGCAGUAGGUGCAAUUGGGGAAAAUCAGCUUUAGUGUGGAGAGUGAGCCCAAGUGCAUAUUUAUAAAGUAUUUCUGAACACAAGUGGUGUUCAUGUGCUGUGGUUCCUCACAGUUUCAUAGGACAUCUUUGACCAUUUGUGCUUCUGUAAUUGUAAGUCAGCUUCUAUUUUUCAAUUGGAAAUUCACCUUUUAAUAUUUACAUAAUGGCCAAAGGGUUUACCAGUCUGUAUUUAAUUAUAAUUGCCAAUUUUUACAUAUGGCAGUUAAAUUGUACCCCCCAAAAUGCACUUAAACCUGAACUGUGUAGUUCAGUUACCUCUUAUUUGACUUUAGAUGGAUUUAAUACAUUUGGUAGGGGCUGGGGGGUUUGUUUUGUUUUUGUUUUAUCCCUUAGCCUCGUGUGUAUAAACUCUCAUUUCCAACAGUUCUGAACACAUUUAUACAGUGGUCCAGGAAAGAUGCUGUUUUUCAGAAGUUUUUAAAUUUGAUACAUUUCCUCUUUUUACUACCUGGGUUUGUUUAAACUGUUCUUUUAUAAGAAAUGUUUUGACUUACAGAUCAUUUUAUAUUCUUUUUCUACCUGACUUUCAACCAUUGAAAAUGUGUAGUUCUUUCAAAUGGAGUGAAGAUUUAUUUAAGUUAAUCCUAAGGGUACACGUCGUGUUUAGAAAUGUGAGAAGGCGUAGAUGAGCAGAUCAGUUUUGUUUAAAGAGCAAACUAACAACCUAGUUUUCAGAACUUGUGCACUCCUGUUCCUCUCUGCAUCAUUGUUUGUCUGAAUGGGAUGUAAAAGGGACAGCACACACAGUAGCCUUCCGUACGUGUGAAUUAUGUUAUGCUUUUGUAUGACCUUGUUAUAUUUGAUAAAUAUAUGUAUAUAUCCACUUCUUAAAUUAUUUCAGGUUCUUAUGGCUUAUCUGACAAUAUUGCCUCUUAAGAUGUGAUCUCCAGUGUAAUUAACCAUUAACGUAGGGGUCAGCUCUUAGGGUCAUGCAUCCCUUAACUAUUGCAUGGAGUGUUUUAUGACAAGUUGUGUCGGAGUCUCUGUGCCAUAAGAACUAGGAAGAGAUUACUCAGCCUUUUCAUAAUGAAGCUUAUAAGCACUCUAUUGCUGUGAGAACCUAAAAUGAAAUCAGCCAAUAUUUAUUGAGCCCCUUCUGUAUGAUACAAACUUAACAAAGUUUCUACCUAUACUUUCAUAGCAACCUGUAGUGGGCUAGUGGGCUACUGUUAUUCCCCUGCUAUUGACAGAGGAGAGACUUCUGUUACAUACUUCCAAGUUCCACAGAAUUAAUAUAAAAUGCAGGGCUCUCUGAUUUUGAUGGUUGGUGUUUGUAGUGACUCUGUGAUAGUACUAAGUAUCAUCAAAGAGUACUUAGUAACCAGUGCCCUCUAAAGAUUCUUUCUGUGAAGUAAGUUCCCUGUGUAAAUUAUUUCUGCAUGUGUGGUUCGGGAACAGUAAGUAUAUUCGCAUUGUUAUCCGGGUGUGCAU